UGCAGCAUUAGCAACAAGUCUCCAAGGGGCUGGGCUGAGAGGGGCAGAGCCUCACCCAAGGCCCACGAAAGCACCAGCAGGGCACUGUGACAACACCCCUGAGCCAGCCCGAGGCAGUGACCUGGUGUCCUGAGCCACUCUCUGAUGGCAAACUGUCUGCAACGGGCAAUUGAGCUUUUUGAUGUUUCAUUUCUCCCCUUUAUUAGAUUGUAUCACUCCAGAUUGUUCAAAUACAGGGUUUCUCUUUCCAUGGAGACCCUUGGACUGCAAAGGAUCAGAAGGGUUCUUCCCUUAUGGAUAUGACAUUCCAAUGUCAGUGAAAGAAGUUUCAUCUGCCUUCACUUCUGCAUGACAGUGUUCAACAGUGUUGCAGAGCCAGACAAUGCAAGUUUGUGGAACAUCGUUUCUCUCCUUCACAAACAGCUUUCCAACCACCAAAAUCAGCCCUCCCAUGUUUUUAAAACCCUCUGUAAACCUGCUCAACGUGUCUUCAGGAAUCUCUUUCCUCCAUGUUUCUGCUGAAGGAGUAUUUCAGGCAAAUCACAAGAUAUUCACUCAAAGCUGGAAUUUGUACUAAAGGAUCACCUUAAGUACAGCUGACAAGAAAUGGAAAGGAAGUUGCUUAAUGAAGACAGAACAAGAACUGUGCUUGG